rnacentral:rRNA from 1 species
CCUUUUGUAUAAUGGGUCAGCGACUUAUAUUCUGUAGCAAGGUUAACCGAAUAGGGGAGCCGAAGGGAAACCGAGUCUUAACUGGGCGUUAAGUUGCAGGGUAUAGACCCGAAACCCGGUGAUCUAGCCAUGGGCAGGUUGAAGGUUGGGUAACACUAACUGGAGGACCGAACCGACUAAUGUUGAAAAAUUAGCGGAUGACUUGUGGCUGGGGGUGAAAGGCCAAUCAAACCGGGAGAUAGCUGGUUCUCCCCGAAAGCUAUUUAGGUAGCGCCUCGUGAAUUCAUCUCCGGGGGUAGAGCACUGUUUCGGCAAGGGGGUCAUCCCGACUUACCAACCCGAUGCAAACUGCGAAUACCGGAGAAUGUUAUCACGGGAGACACACGGCGGGUGCUAACGUCCGUCGUGAAGAGGGAAACAACCCAGACCGCCAGCUAAGGUCCCAAAGUCAUGGUUAAGUGGGAAACGAUGUGGGAAGGCCCAGACAGCCAGGAUGUUGGCUUAGAAGCAGCCAUCAUUUAAAGAAAGCGUAAUAGCUCACUGGUCGAGUCGGCCUGCGCGGAAGAUGUAACGGGGCUAAACCAUGCACCGAAGCUGCGGCAGCGACGCUGAUGCGUUGUUGGGUAGGGGAGCGUUCUGUAAGCCUGCGAAGGUGUGCUGUGAGGCAUGCUGGAGGUAUCAGAAGUGCGAAUGCUGACAUAAGUAACGAUAAAGCGGGUGAAAAGCCCGCUCGCCGGAAGACCAAGGGUUCCUGUCCAACGUUAAUCGGGGCAGGGUGAGUCGACCCCUAAGGCGAGGCCGAAAGGCGUAGUCGAUGGGAAACAGGUUAAUAUUCCUGUACUUGGUGUUACUGCGAAGGGGGGACGGAGAAGGCUAUGUUGGCCGGGCGACGGUUGUCCCGGUUUAAGCGUGUAGGCUGGUUUUCCAGGCAAAUCCGGAAAAUCAAGGCUGAGGCGUGAUGACGAGGCACUACGGUGCUGAAGCAACAAAUGCCCUGCUUCCAGGAAAAGCCUCUAAGCAUCAGGUAACAUCAAAUCGUACCCCAAACCGACACAGGUGGUCAGGUAGAGAAUACCAAGGCGCUUGAGAGAACUCGGGUGAAGGAACUAGGCAAAAUGGUGCCGUAACUUCGGGAGAAGGCACGC